rnacentral:rRNA from 1 species
AUUGAACGCUGGCGGCAUGCCUUACACAUGCAAGUCGAACGGCAGCACGGGAGCAAUCCUGGUGGCGAGUGGCGAACGGGUGAGUAAUGUAUCGGAACGUGCCCAGUUGUGGGGGAUAACUACUUGAAAGAGUGGCUAAUACCGCAUACGACCUGAGGGUGAAAGCGGGGGAUCGCAAGACCUCGCGCAAUUGGAGCGGCCGAUAUCAGAUUAGCUAGUUGGCGGGGUAAAAGCCCACCAAGGCGACGAUCUGUAGCUGGUCUGAGAGGACGACCAGCCACACUGGGACUGAGACACGGCCCAGACUCCUACGGGAGGCAGCAGUGGGGAAUCUUGCGCAAUGG